rnacentral:rRNA from 1 species
UACGGGGGGAGCAAGCGUUGUUCGGAUUUACUGGGCGUAAAGGGCUCGUAGGCGGCCAACUAAGUCAGACGUGAAAUCCCUCGGCUUAACCGGGGGAACUGCGUCUGAUACUGGAUGGCUUGAGGUUGGGAGAGGGAUGCGGAAUUCCAGGUGUAGCGGUGAAAUGCGUAGAUAUCUGGAGGAACACCGGUGGCGAAGGCGGCAUCCUGGACCAAUUCUGACGCUGAGGAGCGAAAGCCAGGGGGAGCAAACGGGG